CCCCAGACUCCUACGGGAGGCAGCAGUGGGGAAUAUUGCACAAUGGGGGAAACCCUGAUGCAGCGACGCCGCGUGAGUGAAGAAGUAUUUCGGUAUGUAAAGCUCUAUCAGCAGGGAAGAAAAUGACGGUACCUGACUAAGAAGCCCCGGCUAACUACGUGCCAGCAGCCGCGGUAAUACGUAGGGGGCAAGCGUUAUCCGGAUUUACUGGGUGUAAAGGGAGCGUAGACGGCAUGGCAAGUCAGAUGUGAAAGCCCGGGGCUCAACCCCGGGACUGCAUUUGAAACUGUCAGGCUGGAGUGCAGGAGAGGUAAGUGGAAUUCCUAGUGUAGCGGUGAAAUGCGUAGAUAUUAGGAGGAACACCAGUGGCGAAGGCGGCUUACUGGACUGUAACUGACGUUGAGGCUCGAAAGCGUGGGGAGCAAACAGGAUUAGAUACCCCCGUAC
rnacentral:rRNA from 1 species